rnacentral:lncRNA from 1 species
UCACAAAAAUUGAGGUGAAAAAAAUCCCAAAAUUUGGGGAAAAAGUCACAAAAAUUGGGGAAAAAAAUCCCAAAAUUUUUGGGGGAAAAAGCAGAAAAUUUGGGGAAAAAAAUCCCAAAAUUUGGGGAAAAAGUCACAAAAAUUGGGGAAAAAAAUCCCAAAAUUUGGGGGAAAAGUCACAAAAAUUGGGGAAAAAAAUCCCAAAAUUUGGGGAAAAAAAUCCCAAAAUUUGGGGAAAAAAAUCUCAAAAUUUGGGGAAAAAGUCACAAAAAUUGGGGGAAAAAAAUUUCCCAAAAUUUUGGGGGGAAAAAGCAGAAAAUUUGGGAAAUAAAUCCCAAAAUUUGGGGGGAAAAAAAUCUCAAAAUUUGGGGGAAAAAGUCACAAAAAUUGGGGAAAAAGUCACAAAAUUUGGGGAAAAAAAUCCCAAAAAAUUGGGGGAAAAAUCCCAAAAUCUGGGGGGGGGGAAAAUUGCAAAAAUGGAGGGAAAAAUUCCAAAAUUUGGCGGGAAACUCCCAAAAAAUUUGGGGGAAAAGUCACAAAAUUUGGGGGGAAAAUCCCCAGGUGUGUCCAGGUGUGACCUCAGGUGUCCCCAGGUGUGUCCAGGUGUGACCUCAGGUGUCCCCAGGUGUCCCCAGGUGUGUCACACCUGGCAUGGGGAGGUGACAGAGGCCACCAGGUGCCACCUCUUGUCCUGCUCCAGCGCUGUCCCCAGGUGUGUCCAGGUGUGUCCAGGUGUCCACAGGUGUCCCCAGGUGUGUCCCCAGGUGUGUCCUCACCUGGUUCCUGGGCAUGGGGAGGUGACAGAGGCCACCAGGUGCCACCAAGACCCAGAGAAACAAACGGUGCCACCUCCAGCACCGUCCACAGGUGAGCUCCAGGUGUCCCCAGGUGUCUCCAGGUGUGUCCAGGUGAGCUCAGAUGCCACCUCAGGUGUCCCCAGGUGAGCUCCAGGUGUCCCCAGGUGUCCCUAGGUGUCCCCAGAUGAGCUCCAGGUGUCUCCAGGUAUCUCCAGGUGCCACCUCAGGUGUCCCCAGGUGUAUCCAGGUGAGCUCCAGGUGUCUCCAGGUGUCCCCAGGUGUAUCCAGAAGAACUCCAGGUGUCCCCAGGUGUCUCCAGAAGAACUCCAGGUGUCCCCAGGUGUAUCCAGGUGAGCCCAGGUGUCUCCAGGUGCCACCCCAG